rnacentral:rRNA from 1 species
GACGAACGCUGGCGGCGUGCUUAACACAUGCAAGUCGAACGGAAAGGCCCUGCUUUUGUGGGGUGCUCGAGUGGCGAACGGGUGAGUAACACGUGAGUAACCUGCCCUUGACUUUGGGAUAACUUCAGGAAACUGGGGCUAAUACCGGAUAGGAGCUCCUGCUGCAGGGUGGGGGUUGGAAAGUUUCGGCGGUUGGGGUUGGACUCGCGGCUUAUCAGCUUGUUGGUGGGGUAGUGGCUUACCAAGGCUUUGACGGGUAGCCGGCCUGGGAGGGUGACCGGCCACAUGGGGCCUGAGGUACGGCGCAGACUCCUACGGGGGGCAGCAGUGGGGAAUAUUGCACAAUCGGCGGAAGCCUGAUGCAGCGGCGCCGCGUGCGGGAUGACGGCCUUCGGGUUGUAAACCGCAUUCGCCUGUGACGAAGCGUGAGUGACGGUAAUGGGUAAAGAAGCACCGGCUAACUACGUG